GAGCAGCAACAGAAUACUGGGAGAUAGAUGCAUAAUUGAACUUUAACAUAUUUAAGAGACAAACAAAUUUAAGAGAGCGCAAACUCUCUCUUCCUUGCUCAGUUUGUCGUUCUUCCUAUUUCUCACUAUGAAGCAGGACGUGCUGUCUUUUCCUAAAAUUCAGCUGGUUACUCAGCAGCUGGCUAAACAGUGUUUUCCUACAAGUUCAGAGUCUCCUUUUUUUGGAUCAACCAAAUGUUGAUUCAUUGGUUGCAACAGGAAUUGACUGACUGGUUUGUUGCCCGAGACUGAGGUUGCGAACUGAGACAGAGCAACUGGCCCAAAGUCAUCCAUCCAUCCAACCUUCAUACUUAAGGAAAAACCUGGCUAAAAGAAAAACAUAUAUAUAAACAUACAGGCCAGGCUUGAUUAUUGAGUUUUUACCACCAAGUUGAUGUCAACAUAUGGAUAUUCUCCAUGAUGAUCUAUCUCUAACCUGAUCUUUCCACCCUUCCGAUGAUGUAUUCAUUGCCAUUCAAACUGAAGCUGGAGUUACAAUGCUUUCAGGAGAUGGCU